ACGGGGAAUCAGGGUUCGAUUCCGGAGAGGGAGCCUGAGAAACGGCUACCACAUCCAAGGAAGGCAACAGGCGCGCAAAUUACCCAAUCUAGACAGUAGGAGGUGGUGAAGAGAAUUACUAGGUGGUGACUCGAUGAGUUACCAGUUUGGAAUGAACGUAACUUAAGAAAUUCGAUGAGAAACAACUGGAGGGCAAGUCCUGGUGCCAGCAGCCGCGGUAAUUCCAGCUCCAGUAGUUUGAUUUAAAGUUGUUGCGUUUAAAACGCUCGUAGUUGGAUCACGCAGCAGUGUUCAGUAAUCUGCCAUCGUACUGGCUCUAUCGAGCCCACUUGUGUGGUGCGUCGAUAGUAGCUGUACGUAUGGUUAGAUACCAACGCUGAGCACUGUUAGUUGCACGUGAGAUGAAUUGUUGGCCUUGAAUGAGCCGGUAUUCUCGUCUUGCGGAGUGUGCCUUGAAUAAAACAGAGUGCUUAAAGCAGGUCAUUGCCUGAAUGUUAUAGCAUGGAACGAACAAUCGUGUAGUAUGUAUCUGCCUUGUAACGGUGGUGGGCCUUAGGUCUGCCGUUGUUCGAGGUAGAUACGGCACCCACCAAAAUAUGGCUGUUGGUUCCAUAUCCGGUGAUGAUUAAAAGGAGCGGUUGGGGGCAUUGGUAUUUGGCCGCGAGAGGUGAAAUUCUUAGACCGGCCAAGGACUAACAAAUGCAAAGGCACUUGUCUAGACCGUUUCCAUUAAUCAAGAACGAAAGUGGGAGGUUCGAAGACGAUCAGAUACCGUCCUAGUUCCCACUGUAA
rnacentral:rRNA from 1 species